GUCUGUUUGAAGGUAUAAAAAGUUUAACCUGCCCACUGAUAAAUUUUUUAAAGGGCCGCGGUAUCCUGACUGUGCAAAGGUAGCAUAAUCGUUAGUUUUUUAAUUGGAAUCUUGUAUGAAUGGUUUGACAAAAGAAAAUCUGUCUUUAUAAUUAUUUAUUGAAUUUAACUUUUAAGUGAAAAGGCUUAAAUAAAUUAAAAAGACGAUAAGACCCUAUAAAGCUUAAUAUUAAAUUUUUAUUUAAUUAAAUUUUGAAUUAUAAUAAAAAUUUGGUAAAUAAAUUUUAUUUUGUUGGGGUGAUAAUGGUAAAAUGAUUAUUAACUGUUAAUUUUUUUAGACAAAAAUAAGUGAAUAAGUGAUUUAUUAAUAAAGGAUCCUGUAUUAAAGAUUAAAAGUUUAAGUUACUUUAGGGAUAACAGCGUUAUUUUUUUUGAGAGUUCUUAUCGAGAAAAAAGUUUGCGACCUCGAUGUUGAAUUAAAAUAUCUAUAUAAUUGUAGCAGUUAUAUAAGAAGGUCUGUUCGACCUUUAAAAUUUU
rnacentral:rRNA from 1 species